GGUCUUUUAGCUUAAUCGGAUAAAGUUUCUAACUGUCAAUUAGAAGGAUACCAGUUCGAAUCUGGUAAAGACCG
rnacentral:tRNA from 1 species